rnacentral:rRNA from 1 species
AACUCGACUACAUGAAGCUGGAAUCGCUAGUAAUCGCGAAUCAGAAUGUCGCGGUGAAUACGUUCCCGGGUCUUGUACACACCGCCCGUCACACCAUGGGAGUCGGGAAUGCCCGAAGUCAGUGACCCAACCGGAAGGAGGGAGCUGCCGAAGGCAGGCUCGAUAACUGGGGUGAAGUCGUAACAAGGUAAC